rnacentral:rRNA from 1 species
GACGAACGCUGGCGGCGUGCUUAACACAUGCAAGUCGAACGGGAUAAUUUGAGAGCUUGCUCUUAGAGAAUCUAGUGGCAAACGGGUGAGUAACACGUAGACAACCUGCCGACAGGAUGGGGACAACAUUCCGAAAGGAAUGCUAAUACCGAAUGAAGUCGAGGGAGGGCAUCCUCUCUCGACGAAAGAUGGCCUCUGAAUAUGCUAUCACCUGUCGAUGGGUCUGCGUCUGAUUAGCUAGUUGGUGAGGUAACGGCUCACCAAGGCGACGAUCAGUAGCCGGUCUGAGAGGAUGAACGGCCACAUUGGGACUGAGACACGGCCCAGACUCCUACGGGAGGCAGCAGUGGGGAAUCUUCCGCAAUGGGCGCAAGCCUGACGGAGCAACGCCGCGUGAGUGAAGAAGGUCUUCGGAUCGUAAAGCUCUGUUGACGGGGACGAACGUGCGAAGGGUGAAUAAUCCUUUGCAAUGACGGUACCUGUCGAGGAAGCC